AUUGAACGCUAGCGGCAGGCCUAACACAUGCAAGUCGAGCGAGCGGCGGACGGGUGAGUAAUGUAUGGGGACUGCCCGAUAGAGGGGGAUAACUACUGGAAACGGUGGCUAAUACCGCAUACUAUCGGAUAACCCAUAUGGGAUGAGCUAGUAGGUGGGGGAAAGGCACACCUAGGCGACGAUCUCUAGCUGGUCUGAUAGGAAGAUCAGCCACACUGGGACUGAGACACGGCCCAGACUCCUACGGAGGCAGCAGUGGGGAAUUUUGCACAAUGGGCUCAAUCCUGAUGCAGCCAUGCCGCGUGUAUGAAGAAGGCCUUAGGGUUGUAAAGUACUUUCAGCGGGGCGGCGUUACCCGCAGAAGACGCACCGGCUAACUCCGUGCCAGCAGCCGCGGUAAUAC
rnacentral:rRNA from 1 species